GAGGGUGAUCGGCCACAUUGGAACUGAGACACGGUCCAAACUCCUACGGGAGGCAGCAGUGGGGAAUAUUGCACAAUGGGCGAAAGCCUGAUGCAGCAACGCCGCGUGAGUGAUGAAGGCCUUCGGGUCGUAAAACUCUGUCCUCAAGGAAGAUAAUGACGGUACUUGAGGAGAAAGCCCCGGCUAACUACGUGCCAGCAGCCGCGGUAAUAAGUAGAGGGCUAGCGUUAUCCGGAAUUACUGGGCGUAAAGGGUGCGUAGGCGGUCGUUCAAGUCAGGAGUGAAAGGCUACGGCUCAACCGUAGUAAGCUCUUGAAACUGGGAGAAUGGAGUGCAGGCACGGAGAGUGGAAUUCCUAGUGUAGCGGUGAAAUGCGUAGAUAUUAGGAGGAACACCAGUUGCGAAGGUGGCUCUCUGUACUUGAGCUGACGCUGAGGCACGAAAGCUUGGGGAGCAAACAGGAUUAGAUAACCUGGUAGUCCACGCUGUACACGAUGAGUACUAGGUGGCGGGGGUUACCCCCUUCGGGGCCGCAGCUAACGCAUUAAGUACUCCGCCUGGGAAGUACGCUCGCAAGAGUGAAACUCAAAGGAAUUGACGGGGACCCGAACAAGUAGCGGAGCAUGUGGUUUAAUUCGAAGCAACGCGAAGAACCU
rnacentral:rRNA from 1 species